CCUUUUCUCUCCCUGGUGUUUGAGAACGUGGAGGACAAAAGGAUACCAAAGAAUCGAAAACUAUGACAAAGAUUCUUCAAGAUCACAAGCACCAUCUUUAACAUGUUGCCAUGGUAGCAGAUACAGGGGA